CCUGCCAGAAUAUCUAUGCUAGAGCACCCGUCGAUCUGAAACAAUCUAUCUAAGCAGCACAGGAAUGUAAAGCCCUGUCUCCUGUCCAGCUCCUACAGGAACUGAUCCAAAACACUCUUUGUUUUUUCCAUUUACUAGAGUGGGAUUUGGAUCAGAUCCAGACAAACUGGCUUUCCUUGCAGAGAAAACCACAAUGUGAAGGGUGGGGUAUUAUUUAAGGAGACUUGGUGAUGGAUUCUUUUCAAAGGCUUCAGUUAAGAUGUGUUUUCAAGUAGCACUACUGCUGGUUAAAAAAAAAAAAAGUUGAUGGACACAUCUUGUUUUUAGCAUUUUUAUUCAAGAAUGUAAGAAGAAAAAAUGUUUGUUUGUUUGUUUGUUUGUUUUUAACAGUAAGCCCUCCUCCUAUGAACCUGGACUAUUUAGUCAGACAGGAAGCUCUUGCAAGUCCUAGAAGCAUACUCUGUCAUGGGAUAAUCCUACUUCAUCCAACAUUUCCCUUCGCGUGCUAACUGGUCACUUGGCACCAUUUGUUUUGUUGUGUUUUUUGUUUUUUGGCAUUUUUAUUUUUCUUUGGUGUCAGGGUAGCAUACAAAGACUACUAAAGCAAGCAGAAACUAGGCCAUUACUGGUAGUCAGCUUCCAUGCUGUCUUCUCCUGACAGCAUGCUGGGACUGGCAAGAAGAAAAGGAAGUGAAGACAGGACUGCAACUGUUCAUAAAUUCUGUCUAAACAGGCUCCAUCCAGUACCAUGUCAUUUUAGGUUUGGUGUUGUAUUGCAAUUGGCAGUAUUUUCCAACUGUUCCCAGUGAUGCUUCUUUGAUGCAGUAGAACAUAGCUACAUCCCAUGACGUUAACCUUUACAUAGACCAGAUAAAAAUUGACCUUUCUUGCUGUCUACUCUGCCAUAACUGUUUUGUCCAAGGACUCUUUUACCAACAAAAGUUUCCUGCAAAUGGGAUGGACGCAGCAUAAAUUUAGAGCUCCUAAAGAACAGAUUUUCUCUACAGUAGAGCAGGGGCCAGUUUUGCUUUCUUUUUAUCACUUAAGGAGAAGCUAAAAAUGCCCCUCUCAAACGUUUUCUGCAGGAAAGACGGUCUUUCCCAUUUUUGUCUGGUUCCACUAGAGAAAGACCAAGCUUGUAAUUUUGCUCUGCCUCACAGGUUCUGGAGACAGCACAGAUCUCAAAUGCAGCAGGGCACAGCCCCAGGGGAACGAAGAAGGGAGACCCCCUAGAAACAUUUCACA